AACGAACGCUGGCGGCAGGCCUAACACAUGCAAGUCGAACGAUGCUUUCGGGCAUAGUGGCGCACGGGUGCGUAACGCGUGGGAAUCUGCCCUUGGCUUCGGAAUAACCGUUGGAAACGACGGCUAAUACCGGAUGAUGUCGAUAAGACCAAAGAUUUAUCGCCUGAGGAUGAGCCCGCGUAGGAUUAGCUAGUUGGUGUGGUAAGAGCGCACCAAGGCGACGAUCCUUAGCUGGUCUGAGAGGAUGAUCAGCCACACUGGGACUGAGACACGGCCCAGACUCCUACGGGAGGCAGCAGUGGGGAAUAUUGGACAAUGGGCGAAAGCCUGAUCAAGCAAUGCCGCGUGAGUGAUGAAGGCCUUAGGGUUGUAAAGCUCUUUUACCCGGGAUGAUAAUGACAGUACCGGGAGAAUAAGCUCCGGCUAACUCCGUGCCAGCAGCCGCGGUAAUAC
rnacentral:rRNA from 1 species